GGAAGCCGGUGGAACUCCGGCACGGCCCCGCCACUGUAACGGGUUGGGAGCAGUUGCUCCCCACGGCGCCUCACAUGCCACUGGCCUCAGGCCGGGAAGGCGAGGCGGCCGCGACACCCGAAGUCAGGAGAC
rnacentral:ncRNA from 2 species